CAAGCAGGCGAGCGUGUUGGUUUAAUUCGAUGCUACACGAAGAACCUUACCAGGGUUUGACAUGCAAGUGGUAGGAAGCCGAAAGGUGACCGACCCUUCGGGGAGCUUGCACAGGUGCUGCAUGGCUGUCGUCAGCUCGUGUCGUGAGAUGUUCGGUUAAGUCCGCUAACGAGCGCAACCCUCGCUGUGUGUUAUAUGUGUCACACGGGACUGCCGGUCUUAAGCCGGAGGAAGGUGGGGAUGAUGUCAAGUCAGCAUGGCCUUUAUAUCCUGGGCUACACACACGCUACAAUGGCCAACACAAUAGGUUGCUAAGCCGCGAGGUGGCGCCAAUCCACAAAGCCGGUCUCAGUUCAGAUUGCAGGCUGCAACCCGCCUGCAUGAAGAUGGAGUUGCUAGUAACCGCAUAUCAGCAUGGUGCGGUGAAUACGUUCUCGGGCCUU
rnacentral:rRNA from 1 species